rnacentral:rRNA from 3 species
UGGGGAAUAUUGCACAAUGGAGGAAACUCUGAUGCAGCGACGCCGCGUGAGUGAAGAAGUAAUUCGUUAUGUAAAGCUCUAUCAGCAGGGAAGAUAGUGACGGUACCUGACUAAGAAGCUCCGGCUAAAUACGUGCCAGCAGCCGCGGUAAUACGUAUGGAGCAAGCGUUAUCCGGAUUUACUGGGUGUAAAGGGAGUGUAGGUGGCCAUGCAAGUCAGAAGUGAAAAUCCGGGGCUCAACCCCGGAACUGCUUUUGAAACUGUGAGGCUAGAGUGCAGGAGGGGUGAGUGGAAUUCCUAGUGUAGCGGUGAAAUGCGUAGAUAUUAGGAGGAACACCAGUGGCGAAGGCGGCUCACUGGACUGUAACUGACACUGAGGCUCGAAAGCGUGGGGAGCAAACAGG